GAACUGAAGAGUUUGAUCAUGGCUCAGAUUGAACGCUGGCGGCAGGCCUAACACAUGCAAGUCGAGCGGAUGAAGGGAGCUUGCUCCUGGAUUCAGCGGCGGRCGGGUGAGUAAUGCCUAGGAAUCUGCCUGGUAGUGGGGGAUAACGUCCGGAAACGGGCGCUAAUACCGCAUACGUCCUGAGGGAGAAAGUGGGGGAUCUUCGGACCUCACGCUAUCAGAUGAGCCUAGGUCGGAUUAGCUAGUUGGUGGGGUAAAGGCCUACCAAGGCGACGAUCCGUAACUGGUCUGAGAGGAUGAUCAGUCACACUGGAACUGAGACACGGU
rnacentral:rRNA from 1 species